CUUAUGGAGAGUUUGAUCCUGGCUCAGGACGAACGCUUGCGGCGUGCCUAAGAAAUGCAAGUCGAGCGAGGUCAGGGAGCUUGCUCCCUAAGCCUAGCGGCGAACGGUCGAGUAACACGUAGGCAACCUGCCCCAAAGCGGGGGAUAGCCCACCGAAAGGUGGAUUAAUACCGCAUGUGGUCACAUUUGGGCAUCCUUAUGUGAUUAAAGCAGUGAUGCUCUUUGGGAUGGGCUUGCGGCCUAUCAGCUAGUUGGUGAGGUAACGGCUCACCAAGGCGACGACGGGUAGCUGGUCUGAGAGGAUGGUCAGCCGGACUGGGACUGAGACACGGCCCAG
rnacentral:rRNA from 1 species